CCUUAAGUNGGGGACCACCAGUUGGAAAACGACUGCUUAAUACCCGCAUAAUGUCUCCGACCAAAGGGGCUUCGGCUUCUUCGCCCUUUUAGAUUGGCCCAAGUGGGAUUAGCUAGUUGGUGAGGUAAUGGCUCACCAAGGCAACGAUCCCUAGCUGGUUUGAGAGGAUGAUCAGCCACACUGGAACUGAGACACGGUCCAGACUCCUACGGNAGGCAGCAGUGGGGAAUAUUGCACAAUGGGCGAAAGCCUGAUGCAGCCAUGCCGCGUGUGUGAAGAAGGCCUUCGGGUUGUAAAGCACUUUCAGUCAGGAGGAAAGGGUGUGAGUUAAUACCUCACAUCUGUGACGUU
rnacentral:rRNA from 1 species